UAGCUUGCUACACCAUAGACUGUGAGUUGCGAACGGGUGAGUAACGCGUAGGUAACCUGCCUAUUAGAGGGGGAUAACUAUUGGAAACGAUAGCUAAUACCGCAUAACAGUAUGUAACACAUGUUAGAUGCUUGAAAGAUGCAAUUGCAUCGCUAGUAGAUGGACCUGCGUUGUAUUAGCUAGUAGGUAGGGUAAUGGCCUACCUAGGCGACGAUACAUAGCCGACCUGAGAGGGUGAUCGGCCACACUGGGACUGAGACACGGCCCAGACUCCUACGGGAGGCAGCAGUAGGGAAUCUUCGGCAAUGGGGGGAACCCUGACCGAGCAACGCCGCGUGAGUGAAGAAGGUUUUCGGAUCGUAAAGCUCUGUUGUUAAGGAAGAACGAGUGUGAGAAUGGAAAGUUCAUGCUGUGACGGUACUUAACCAGAAAGGGACGGCUAACUACGUGCCAGCAGCCGCGGUAAUACGUAGGUCCCGAGCGUUGUCCGGAUUUAUUGGGCGUAAAGCGAGCGCAGGCGGUUAGAAAAGUCUGAAGUGAAAGGCAGUGGCUCAACCAUUGUAGGCUUUGGAAACUGUUUAACUUGAGUGCAGAAGGGGAGAGUGGAAUUCCAUGUGUAGCGGUGAAAUGCGUAGAUAUAUGGAGGAACACCGG
rnacentral:rRNA from 1 species